rnacentral:rRNA from 1 species
UACAGGGGGUGCAAACGUUGCUCGGAAUCAUUGGGCGUAAAGCGCACGUAGGCGGUUCGUUAUGUCGGAUGUGAAAGCCCUUGGCUUAACCGAGGAAGUGCAUCCGAAACUGGCGAGCUAGAGUACUAAAGAGGAUCGCGGAAUUCCCGGUGUAGAGGUGAAAUUCGUAGAUAUCGGGAGGAACACCGGGUGGCGAAGGCGGCGAUCUGGGUAGAUACUGACGCUGAGGUGCGAAAGCGUGGGGAGCAAACAGGG